rnacentral:rRNA from 1 species
UUGGAGGGCAAGUCUGGUGCCAGCAGCCGCGGUAAUUCCAGCUCCAAUAGCGUAUAUUAAAGUUGUUGCAGUUAAAAAGCUCGUAGUUGAAUUUCGGGGUUCUUCCGUUGGUCAGGCUAACAAGUCUGUACUAGCGUGUAGAAUCUCUACCUUCUGGGGAACCAUCAUGUUAUUAAUUUAGCGUGGUGGGAAACCAGGACCUUUACCUUGAAAAAAUUAGAGUGUUCAAAGCAGGCUUACGUCUGAAUACAUUAGCAUGGAAUAAUAAAAUAGGACGGUGGUCCUGUUUUGUUGGUUUCUGAAUCACCGUAAUGAUUAAUAGGGAUAGUUGGGGGCAUUAGUAUUCAAUUGUCAGAGGUGAAAUUCUUGGAUUUAUUGAAGACUAACUUCUGCGAAAGCAUUUGCCAAGGAUGUUUUCAUUAAUCAAAAACGAAAGUUAGGGGAUCGAAGACGAUCAGAUACCGUCGUAGUCUUAACCAUAAACUAUGCCGACUAGGGAUCGGACGAUGUUAAAUUUUAUUGACUCGUUCGGCGCCUUACGGGAAAC